GUCUGGAAUAACCAGACAAGAGGAACAAGAUGCAACAUUUUCUUGAAACUGUCGGAGGGGCAGGUUUAGGGGCAGCCAUUCACCGUAUGCUACGCCGAGCGGCAAAUAAUGAGGUACUCGCCCAGUACAGCUUGCGGGGCAGACGGGCCAAAAUGUCCUUUGAUGUCCAUUCUGUGCAAGAUUAUAAAGGCUGCAUGUGUCAAAAAAUUUCCCGGCCAUACGGAAGCUGAAGUGGAGGAAUGCCUUGGCCAGACUCUAAAAUUUGCACCACACAGACGGUCAGCUGGUCAGCAGCAACGGGUGAACAGUGAAUUUUUAUUCUAUUUUUGUGAACAGUGAUUUUUAUUCUAUUUUUUUGUGAAGUGAUU